AAAACUAUACUUCACAGGAUCAUUUCUGUAGUCUGUCUUCAUUUAUUGCCAUCUCAAAAUGGCCAUAGCUCUACAUAACUUCUCGAUGU
rnacentral:snoRNA from 1 species